UGGCGGACGGGUGAGUAACGCGUGGGGAACCUGCCCUGUACAGGGGGAUAACACUUAGAAAUAGGUGCUAAUACCGCAUAAGCGCACAGUNUCGCAUGAUACAGUGUGAAAAACUCCGGUGGUACAGGAUGGACCCGCGUCUGAUUAGCUGGUUGGCGGGGUAACGGCCCACCAAGGCGACGAUCAGUAGCCGGCCUGAGAGGGUGAACGGCCACAUUGGGACUGAGACACGGCCCAAACUCCUACGGAAGGCAGCAG
rnacentral:rRNA from 1 species